CAUUUAAUUCAAGAUUCCUCGAGCUCAUCCGAAACAGUAGAACACGUUUUGCGCGCAAUCACUGCUCUCUCCGGAUCCGAAUCCCUUCUAUCAUCCUCCACAGCUUUCAUCGUCCGGCUCGGAGAACUAAUCAAGCACCUGGGCGGCCACCGCCUGCGGCGGUGUCGCGGUGUUAAUCGAAGCUUGCCGGUCCGGCUCUCUAGCUACGCAGACCCAUUCCGUCGGAGCGAUUCGGAACGUCGCCGCAGUGGACGACAUCAAGAUGGCUCUAGCGGAAGAAGGCGCAGUUCCCGUUCUGGUAAACUCACUCGUCGUUGGAACGGCGUCGGCGCAGGAGAAGGCGGCGCACUGCCUCUCGAUUCUAGCCGCUUCCGGUGAGUAUUUCCGGUCGUUAAUCAUUCAAGAGAAAGGAUUACAGAGGCUGAUGCAUUUGAUUCAAGAUUCCUCGAGCUCAUCGGAAACAGUAGAACACGUCUUGCGCGCAAUCACUGCACUCUCCGGAUCCGAAUCCCUUCUAUCAUCCUCCACAGCUUUCAUCGUCCGGCUCGGAGAACUAAUCAAGCACGGGAACCUAACGCUACAGCAACUCUCGGCGUCUCUCCUAGCUCACUUACCCGCCAGCGACGGAAACAAGAGAGCAAUCGGAAGCUGUAUGGGUUCCCUAUUGAAGCUAAUGCAGUCACCGAAACCAGCCGGUCUACAAGAAUCAGCAAC
rnacentral:lncRNA from 1 species